AAGCGAACAGCAGCAUUGUUGAAAGUGUUGCAUCACUACGCCAAUCAAUUUUACGACUGCGAGACAUAUCCAUAGAACUGGAUGGAGUUAAAGGGAGUGAAAAUUGGACUGCGUCAAUGUUCAGGCUUUCAAUAAAGGAUAC
rnacentral:snRNA from 1 species